rnacentral:rRNA from 1 species
AUGAGUUUUUGGAUCUGGCUCAGGAUGAACGCUGGCGGCGUGCCUAAUACAUGCAAGUCGAGCGAACAGAUAAGGAGCUUGCUCCUUUGACGUUAGCGGCGGACGGGUGAGUAACACGUGGGUAACCUACCUAUAAGACUGGGAUAACUUCGGGAAACCGGAGCUAAUACCGGAUAAUAUUUCGAACCGCAUGGUUCGAUAGUGAAAGAUGGUUUUGCUAUCACUUAUAGAUGGACCCGCGCCGUAUUAGCUAGUUGGUAAGGUAACGGCUUACCAAGGCGACGAUACGUAGCCGACCUGAGAGGGUGAUCGGCCACACUGGAACUGAGACACGGUCCAGACUCCUACGGGAGGCAGCAGUAGGGAAUCUUCCGCAAUGGGCGAAAGCCUGACGGAGCAACGCCGCGUGAGUGAUGAAGGUCUUCGGAUCGUAAAACUCUGUUAUUAGGGAAGAACAUACGUGUAAGUAACUGUGCACGUCUUGACGGUACCUAAUCAGAAAGCCACGGCUAACUACGGCAGGCGUACGG